UGGGGAAUAUUGGACAAUGGGCGAAAGCCUGAUCCAGCAAUGCCGCGUGAGUGAUGAAGGCCUUAGGGUUGUAAAGCUCUUUUACCCGGGAUGAUAAUGACAGUACCGGGAGAAUAAGCUCCGGCUAACUCCGUGCCAGCAGCCGCGGUAAUACGGAGGGAGCUAGCGUUAUUCGGAAUUACUGGGCGUAAAGCGCACGUAGGCGGCUUUGUAAGUUAGAGGUGAAAGCCUGGAGCUCAUCUCCAGAAUUGCCUUUAAGACUGCAUCGCUUGAAUCCAGGAGAGGUGAGUGGAAUUCCGAGUGUAGAGGUGAAAUUCGUAGAUAUUCGGAAGAACACCAGUGGCGAAGGCGGCUCACUGGACUGGUAUUGACGCUGAGGUGCGAAAGCGUGGGGAGCAAACAGGAUUAGGAUACCCUGGUAGUCCACGCCGUAAACGAUGAUAACUAGCUGUCGGGGCUCGUUAGAG
rnacentral:rRNA from 1 species